rnacentral:rRNA from 1 species
UGGGGAAUAUUGCACAAUGGGCGCAAGCCUGAUGCAGCCAUGCCGCGUGUAUGAAGAAGGCCUUCGGGUUGUAAAGUACUUUCAGCGGGGAGGAAGGGAGUAAAGUUAAUACCUUUGCUCAUUGACGUUACCCGCAGAAGAAGCACCGGCUAACUCCGCGCCAGCAGCCGCGGUAAUAUGGAGGGUGCAAGCGUUAAUCGGAAUUACUGGGCGUAAAGCGCACGCAGGCGGUCUGUCAAGUCGGAUGUGAAAUCCCCGGGCUCAACCGGGGAACUGCAUUCGAAACGGGCAGGCUAGAGUCUUGUAGAGAGGGGUAGAAUUCCAGGUGUAGCGGUGAAAUGCGUGGAGAUCUGGAGAAAUACCGGUGGCGAAGGCGGCCCCCUGGACAAAGACUGACGCUCAGGUGCGAAAGCGUGGGGAGCAAACAGG